rnacentral:misc_RNA from 1 species
GAACGCACAUUGCGCCCUGUGGUAUUCCGCAGGGCAUGCCUGUUCGAGCGUCAUUUCAACCCUCAAGCAUCGCUUGGUGUUGGGCCCCGCCCGCUGCGGCCGGCCCCAAAGUCAGUGGCGGCACCGUACGGUCCUAAGCGUAGUAAUACUCUCGCUCUAGGGCCCUACGGCCGCGCGCCAGAACUCCAACUCCUAUGGUUGACCUCGGAUCAGGUAGGGAUACCCGCUGAACUUAAG